rnacentral:rRNA from 1 species
AUGAAGAUAAGCCUUAAAAAUGGUUUUUAUUGUGUGUAUGAAUUCGAGGCAUCACAUAACCACACUCUUGCUCAUGGAAUCAUGGCCCAAUACUUGAGAUCCCAGAGAAAAGUAACAGAAGCACAUAUAGCAAAUGUUGAGGUUGCAAAAUCAGUAGGCAUUUCAAAUAAAGCAACAUUCGAUUUGAUGGCCAAGGAAGCAUGUGGAAGUGAAAACCUUGGCUUUAUACGUGAAGAUUUGAGAAAUCGUUUGUACUCAAAGAGAACAAUAAAAGCAAAGAAUGGUGACACAGGGGGAGUAUUAGAGUACAUGGAGAAGAAGGUCUCAGAAGAUGUCAACUUCUUCUAUUCAAUUCAAGUUGAUGAAGAUGAGUUGAUAACUAAUAUUUUUUGGACUGACUCGAAAAUGGUAUCAGACUACGCAUUAUUCGGCGAUGUUAUAUGCUUUGACACCACAUACAGGAAACUAGAUGAUGGACGCCCAUUUGGUUUGAUUGUUGGGGUGAAUAAUCAUCAAAAAACGGUUGUCUUUGGCGCCGCACUUCUCUAUGAUGAAACUGCUGCAAGUUUUGCUUGGCUUUUUAGAACUUUCCUAAAAGUUAUGUCUGGGAAACAUCCACGUACAAUUCUCACCGAUGAAGAUGCAGCAAUGGCAAAGGCAAUACGUAAAGUGUUCCCUCAUUCUCACCAUAGACUUUGUGUGUGGCAUAUGAAUCAAAAUGCUUGCAAGCAUCUCGCUGGAGUUGUUGAUGAAUAUAAGAAAUUCAAUGUUGAUUUUCAACAUUGUAUAUAUGAUAUAGAAGAGGAAGAUGAAUUUGUAAGUGCAUGGAAUAAAAUGAUUGACAACACUACCCAACGAAGUGAAAGCAUGAACAAUGAACUAAAGAGGUACAUUAGUGUUAAAUAUGACAUGCUUACUUUCUUGGAGCAUUUUGAACGGCUAGUUUCAGAUAGAAGAUGUGAAGUAUGA